rnacentral:rRNA from 1 species
GACGAACGCUGGCGGCGUGCUUAACACAUGCAAGUCGAACGGAAAGGCCCUGCUUUUGUGGGGUGCUCGAGUGGCGAACGGGUGAGUAACACGUGAGUAACCUGCCCUUGACUUUGGGAUAACUUCAGGAAACUGGGGCUAAUCCCGGAUAGGAGCUCCUGCUGCAUGGUGGGGGUUGGAAAGUUUCGGCGGUUGGGGAUGGACUCGCGGCUUAUCAGCUUGUUGGUGGGGUAGUGGCUUACCAAGGCUUUGACGGGUAGCCGGCCUGAGAGGGUGACCGGCCACAUGGGGACUGAGAUACGGCCCAGACGCCUACGGGAGGCAGCAGUGGGGAAUAUUGCACAAUGGGCGGAAGCCUGAUGCAGCAACGCCGCGUGUGGGAUGACGGCCUUCGGGUUGUAAACCGCUUUCGCCUGUGACGAAGCGUGAGUGACGGUAAUGGGUAAAGAAGCACCGGCUAACUACGUG